rnacentral:rRNA from 1 species
GCGCGUAGGCGGUCUGUUAAGUGUAGAGUGAAAUCUCCAGGGCUCAACCCGGAAACUGCUCUGCAUACUGGCAGACUGGAGGGUCGAAGAGGUAUGUGGAAUUCCCGGUGUAGCGGUGAAAUGCGUUGAUAUCGGGAGGAACACCCAUGGCGAAGGCAGCAUACUGGUCGACAUCUGACGCUGAGGCGCGAAAGCGUGGGUAGCAAACAGGAUUAGAUACCCUGGUAGUCCACGACCUAAACGAUGGAUACUAGGCGUAAGGGGUAUCGACCCCCCUUGUGCCGCAGCUAACGCACUAAGUAUCCCGCCUGGGGACUACGGCCGCAAGGUUGAAACUCAAAUGAAUUGACGGGGACCCGCACAAGCGGUGGAGCAUGUGGAUUAAUUCGAUACUAACCGAAGAACCUUACCCAGACUUGACAUCGAUCGCAAGCCUUAGAAAUAGGGCCCUCCCCCACAAGGGGACGUGAAGACACUUGUUGCAUGGCUGUCGUCAGCUCGUGCCGUGAGGUGUACGGUUAAGUCCGCCAACGAGCGCAACCCUCGUCCUGUGUU